rnacentral:rRNA from 1 species
AACGAACGCUGGCGGCAGGCCUAACACAUGCAAGUCGAAUGCCCCGCAAGGGGAGUGGCAGACGGGUGAGUAACACGUGGGAAUCUUCCUCGUAGUACGGAACAACUCAGGGAAACUUGAGCUAAUACCGUAUACGCCCUUCGGGGGAAAGAUUUAUCGCUAUGAGAUGAGCCCGCGUCCGAUUAGCUAGUUGGUGAGGUAACGGCUCACCAAGGCUACGAUCGGUAGCUGGUCUGAGAGGAUGAUCAGCCACAUUGGGACUGAGACACGGCCCAAACUCCUACGGGAGGCAGCAGUGGGGAAUAUUGGACAAUGGGCGCAAGCCUGAUCCAGCCAUGCCGCGUGAGUGACGAAGGCCUUAGGGUUGUAAAGCUCUUUUGGCGGGGAAGAUAAUGACGGUACCCGCAGAAUAAGCUCCGGCUAACUUCGUGCCAGCAGCCGCGGUAA